rnacentral:lncRNA from 1 species
GGACUUUUUGUGCAAACACAUAUGGACACACAAAGCUUUUCUCUUUACGAAGGAUUGAAAUUUGUCUUGGAUUCACAAAGGACCAGGUCCAGUGCUGGAAACGAGCAUCUCCUGAGAAAUAAAUGGACUAAAGCAACAGGGCUGGCUCUGACAGGAAGCGGGGAUUCGGGACUUCAAAUACAAACAUUAUGAAAAACAAGCAACAUCUGCAAACAGUAAGUACUUAUUUGUAUUUUAUGGAGUGUGUGCUUGAGAUUUUGACGGG